rnacentral:rRNA from 1 species
UGGGGAAUAUUGGACAAUGGGCGAAAGCCUGACCCAGCAACGCCGCGUGAAGGAUGAAGUAUUUCGGUAUGUAAACUUCGAAAGAAUGGGAAGAAUAAAUGACGGUACCAUUUAUAAGCUCCGGCUAACUACGUGCCAGCAGCCGCGGUAAUACGUAGGGAGCAAGCGUUGUUCGGAUUUACUGGGCGUAAAGGGCGCGUAGGCGGCGCGGUAAGUCACUUGUGAAAUCUCUGAGCUUAACUCAGAACGGCCAAGUGAUACUGCAGUGCUAGAGUGCAGAAGGGGCAAUCGGAAUUCUUGGUGUAGCGGUGAAAUGCGUAGAUAUCAAGAGGAACACCUGAGGUGAAGACGGGUUGCUGGGCUGACACUGACGCUGAGGCGCGAAAGCCAGGGGAGCAAACGGGAUUAGAUACCCCCGUAGUCCCUGAGCGGGCUGGCAAGGCGCAU